GUGUCCGCCGCCGCCACCCACUCGAAAUCUCUCGGGAUCCAUCCCCAAUUUCUUUGUCCCAUCAAUCCAUCCAGUCGGAGCACUCCACUCCUCCCCUCGAUCCCACCAAGUUGCUUCCAGAGGCCCUGCCUCAUGUGCCCGCGCAAGGAGAUGAGCCCUAUCCUGCAGACCGAGCUCCUUCGUCCACGCCCUUGUCACCUCCGACCUCCUCGCAACCCCGCUACCCCGACGAAGCUCGCCGCCAACAACCACUCCCAGCAGGCCUCGUCGCCUCUCCUCCCUUUCUUCUCUUCCCAUCCCUGCAUCUCUCUCUUUCUCUCAGCUUUUCUCUCUACCCCGCAGGAACCAGGAGCUCCACGCCAUGGCUGAUCCCCUCGCCGAGCUUCUCAAGUCCCGCUGCUGCCUCAAGUUCCUCACCGCCGGAAUCCUCAGCGCCACCGUGACUGCCGCUUGCCUCGUCCUGGCCUCGCCGACGUGCCGCCACGCUGUCAACCCCUGCUCGGCCCGUCGCAUCCUCUGCAUCACGGCCUCCCCUGCUUCGGCCUCUAGCCUUUGCCAUCGAGCAUCGCCUCCACCUGGAUCCGUCAAGUCCGCCGCCCGCUGCCGUCUUCCCGGUAAACCACGCCGACCCGCCGCUUCCCGUGCCUGCCGGCGUCCACCUAUGACCUCCCUGCUUCUGUUCCCUGAGACCGCCGCCGCUUCUUCCUGUACGAGAGGAGGGCGAGCGAGUCCCUCGCAAACCUCCUAUGCCCGUUGACCGCAUGUGGACCGCGACCCUCCUCAAGGCCCAGCAGCCGGCCUGCCCAAGCCUCUUCCCAACUGGGCCUCAGCCCAAAGUGUCGUUGAUACCAUGCAUGUGACACAAGCCAGCUCGAGUGGGAGCUCGAUGAAGAUCAUGUUCGUUGUGUUGUUUCGUUCCAGUUGAUCAGUAGUGGAGCCCAGUCGGGGCGAUCGAGGAUCUAUUGCAUUAGGUGUUGUCUUUCUUUAUUUGGUUCCAUAGUCAGACCUUGAUUGUAUUCUGGAUGAUGUAAUGUUAUAUUUAUGUAUUGUUUGAAGUGGCGAUUGUGAGCCUACUCUUUA